UUUAUCAAGUGUAAUGUUGUACGUAUUUGUUGUGGUGAGGAUGAUCAAAUAAGUUGGGCUUUCAUUUAGCUGAUAGAGGAUAGAGCCCAUUUCAAAUGUCUGCAGACCCAAUUUGCUGAAAGCCCAAUAAAUUAAAGUUGUCCAAACAUAGACUAAACGAUGAGAAUUGUUCCUCAUUCAGUCUAAAUUUUUUUUUGUUACUUUGUUUCUUCUUCUUCACCUUGUCAAUGGAUUCAUGGUCUGCAAUAUCCCCCCUCAGGUGGGAGUCUGGAGAUCGGACUCCUAACUUUCCUAAAAUAUGGCGGUGUAAAAGUCCAACCAACGUCUUAGUGAAAAUAUUUGCAAUUUGUGAGGAUGAAGGGGUGAAGUUCAAUGAAAUGAGACCAUCAACAAGUUUUUCACGAACGAAAUGGCAAUCGAGUUCGAUGUUCUUUGUUCUUUCGUGAAAGACUAGAUUUUUUGUGAUGUGGAUUGAUGUUUGAUUAUCACACUGCAAUGGAAUCGAAAGAGAGGGAGAAAUAUAUAUAUCAGAGAAUAAUCUUACAAGACAAGCGAUUUCAGCAACAAACCAUCUCAAAGAGCAAUACUCUACCUUUGCUGAAGAAAGUGAAAUCACUAUUUAUUUUCUAGAUUUUCAUGAAACUGGACAGCCUCCAAGACUGAUGUAAAAACCACUAACAGAGCAUCUGGAGUCUGAACAAGAUGCCCAAUCGGUAUCAUAAAACCCAAGAAUUUGUAAGGAAGAGAAAGAAUUCAUGAAUAAACCAAGAUUGGGAUUAUUUUUCAAAUAGCGAAGUGUGUGAUAAGCUGCCUGAAGAUGUCCAAACCUAGGAGUUUGCAUAAAUUGGCUCAAGGUCUAGAUAGUGUAUGAAAGAUCAAGUCGAGUAUGGGUUAAAUAAUUCAACUAACCUAGAAGACGAUGAUAAAUAGUGGGAUUUAGAAUAAGUGAACCUGAUUCUACAGUGAGUUUGAUCGUGGGAUCCAAAGAAGUUGAGGUAGAUCGUGUGCCUAUUUCUUGAUAUUCAGAAAUAAGGUCAAGGAAAAAUUUGGGUUGGGUAAUAAGGACCCCUACCGAAUUGUAUAAAAUAUCCAUUCCAAGAAAGUAAUUUGCAAUUCCCAAAUCCUUAAUUUUGAACUCUAUAUCUAAGAAAACUUUCAGCUUAUCAAUUUCUUGUUGAUUGCUUCCCGUUAGCAGGAUGUCAUCAACUUAGACUUUGACAAGAGUAAUAAGAGACCCUAAAGAUUUGAAAAAGAGGGAGAAAUCAUUCAAUGAUGAAGUAUAACCUCUCAUCCCUAAAGUUGUCGAUAGUCGGGCAUACCAUUGCCUCGGUGCCUGUUUAAGUCUGUAAAUUUUUUUACAUAAUCUGCAAAUAUGAGAUGGAGAAGGAAAAAUCAUCCCAGGAGGAAAAUGCAUGAAGACCUCUUCAUCUAAGUCACCAUGGAGAAAGGUAUUAUUGAUGUCGACUUGGAAAAAUGGCCACUUUUGUUUGACAACAAUACUGAUAAUGCAAUGAAUUGUUGUCAUUUUUACCACAGGGUAGUGCUUUCUUUUCGGGUAGCAAAGGUACCACUUUUCAAGUGGAGUUAGAUUCUAAAGCUUGGAGUUCCAGGUCCACAGCAACUUUCCAACUAGGGUGUUUAACUGCCUGAAGGUCUCUUUGCAGCUGGAAAAGCUUUGCACCAUCAAGCUGUCCAUAUCUUUCUUGAAGUUCAUUCCAUUACUUUGAAGUAGUGAGACAGUAUAUCACACUUUCAGAAAUUUCCUUAUUUAGUGAAUUCAACAUCCAAGUAGUGACCAUGUCAUUGCAUUUUCUCUAGUGAUCAAAA